rnacentral:sRNA from 1 species
ACUCCAUUUUAUUUUUCACAUUGGCCAGUGUAAACUUUUAAGUUUACAGUUGCUUUGUUAUUUUUUCUUGCAGGGUUACGACUCACUGAUUAAAAAGAGGGACUUUUUCAAAUACUUUGCACUUUUGAUUGUGUAUUAUGGAUACCAAGGAAGAGAAGAAGGAACGGAAACAAAGUUAUUUUGCUCGAUUGAAAAAGAAAAAACAAGCCAAACAAAAUGCAGAGACAGCCUCAGCUAUAGCUGCAAGGACUCAUACUGGGAAGGAAGAUGCUAAUACAGUAGUUUUAGAGCCAGACAAGUGCAACAUUGCUGUGGAAGAGGAAUAUAUGACUGAUGAGAAAAAAAAGAGAAAAAGUAAUCAGUUAAAGGAGAUCAGGCGUACAGAACUAAAGAGAUAUUAUAGUAUUGGUGAGUAUUCAUGGCGUUACUGCAGUAUUUUCAUUUAAAAAAUCCAUAAGAAUUUUUAAAAGACUAUCAUUUGUGAUUGAUCAUAAUAAUGGUAACAGUUUAUGGAGCAGCUGCUAUGUGCCCCCGGCCCUUGCUUUACAUACAUAAUCUUGUGUAAGGGGAUCACACUAAAAUAAUGUCUCAUUUAAAUUUGUGUUCCCAGCAUUUAGCACAGUGUCCAGAAUGUAUUGUGUACUACUAAACGUUUAUCUAAUGAAGAGUCACUUUCUCUUUAUGAGAAAUGUUUUUCUUAAUGUAUGUAGACAUAUUCAUAAAUAUGCUGAUAGAAAUGCCUGUACUUUUUGGCAUUU